UACGUAGGUGGCAAGCGUUGUCCGGAUUUACUGGGCGUAAAGAGCGCGCAGGCGGUUAAUUAAGUCGAAUGUGAAAGCCCCCGGCUCAACUGGGGAGGGUCAUUCGAUACUGAUUGACUUGAAGGCAGGAGAGGGUAGUGGAAUUCCCGGUGUAGUGGUGAAAUGCGUAGAUAUCGGGAGGAACACCAGUGGCGAAGGCGACUACCUGGCCUGUUCUUGACGCUGAGGCGCGAAAGCUGGGGGAGCAAACGGG
rnacentral:rRNA from 1 species